GCCACACUAUAGCUAAGUGGUUAGAGCACUGGUCUUUUAAACCAGGGGUCGUAGUUCAAUCCCUCACUGGUGGCU